CUUGGGGAAGAACACACAUAAUCUUCAUCACUACCAUCUGACAGAUCACUUUCAGUUGAGCUUUUAUCUAUGGUAUUCACAGUCUCCUCAUGCUCUGAACAAUUAUCUUCCCCACAUGAUGCAUUCUCAAUUUGGGUGAUGUCAUGCAUGAUUGGUGGUAUAACAACAGAAGCUAAUGCAUCAACACUACUUGGAGUAUCACUAUCACAUAGUAUUGCCACACUUCUUCCAGCAGAAGUAUCUAUUUCUGGCUCUAUCUCAGUCAUGGUCUUGGACAAUGUGAGUAAAGAUUCUUCAGCAUCACUGGGUUGUUCAAGCAUACUGGCUAAUUCCUGCACAUUGUGGAAUUUAGAUUCAUUUAAUUAAAAAAUGUUUCAAGUGUAAUGUUCAAAAGAAAAUUUUAAUAUAAUGAUCUCACUUAUAUAUAUCAAUACAUACUUAUUCAUGCUCAAGAUAAAUAAUAUCAAAAAUUAUUCUGUAAAAAUGACAUUAAUGGGCUACCUCUUGCAUCGCUUUUCUUUUCUGCCUCUUACUUGAGGAUUCCCGCUCUGGUUUACGCUUUAGAAAGGGGAAUAUUUGAAGGUACACUACCUGGUUUUAAUGCUUUUUUUGCUUUCAUUCCAAAUAAAUCUUUCAGGGAACCUUCAAAACAAUCUGGCGUGAAAUGCGUGCUGCACACAUAGCAUGAAUUAGGUUUAGGCAAAUUAUCACGUCGAAUUCGCCCUAGCCACAUUUUACGAAUAUAUUGAUCAUUUGGCAAGCGAUGGUAAGAUAUUUCACUUCCUUUGGUUUUUUUUGAACAAUUAGUGCAACCGGGUACCAUACAGUAAGGCAUAUUUAUAAAGAAAGGAAAAUAAAUAUCGAGAAAGAAA